ACAAACUUGGUCAUUUAGAGGAAGUAAAGUCGUAACAAGGUUUCCGUAGGUGAACCUGCGGAAGGAUCAUUACAAGGUUUUCUGUCAAUGUCGCCAUUUUCUGGCGACGUUGAUAAACCACGAUUCAUCCACUAUGUGCACUCUACAUUUUCCUUCAGCUUUAAUUUUUGUCUGAUGAUGAAACAAAGAAAAGUAUAAUACAACUUUCAACAACGGAUCUCUUGGCUCUCGCAUCGAUGAAGAACGCAGC
rnacentral:misc_RNA from 1 species